rnacentral:miRNA from 1 species
UCACCGAUCCGUUUUUUUAAACCU